rnacentral:lncRNA from 1 species
GAGUCGAGUUAGAGUCGGCUCAGCAGUCUAUCACAUCCCAAGAAGUCCGGAUUAAGAAAAAGAAGCAUGCGAUCAAUAAAGUCUAGAGGGAAUGUGACAACUUCUUCAAGGAGCUUGAAGAAGAGCGGGAGAAGCAUCGGACCACCUAAGCAAGGUUAGUGCUGGUCGAUGCAGAGUCGGCUUCUACUAAGGAGGAAGCAAAGUCAGCCAAGGAGGCUCUCGAUCGGGCUAUUGAAGAUUAUAAGAGGUUGGAAGAAUUCAAGAAUGA